CCUACGGGUGGCAGCAGUAGGGAAUCUUGCACAAUGGGCGAAACCCUUAUCCAGCAACGCCGCGUGGGUGAAGAAGGUUUUCGGAUCGUAAACCCCUGUUGUUAGGGACGAUAAUGACGGUACCUCCGGAAUAAGCCACGGCUAACUACGUGCCAGCAGCCGCGGUAAUACGUAGGUGGCAAGCGUUGUCCGGAUUUACUGGGUGUAAAGGGCGCGUAGGCGGGAUAGCAAGUCAGAUGUGAAAACUAAGGGCUCAACCCUGAACCUGCAUUUGAAACUGUUAUUCUUGAGUGCUGGAGAGGCAAGCGGAAUUCCGGGUGUAGCGGUGAAAUGCGUAGAUAUUAGGAGGAACACCAGUGGCGAAGGCGGAUUGCUGGACAGUAACUGACGCUGAGGCGCGAAAGCGUGGGGAGCAAACAGGAUUAGAUACCCUUGUAGUC
rnacentral:rRNA from 1 species